UACGUAGGGGGCAAGCGUUGUCCGGAUUUAUUGGGCGUAAAGAGCGUGUAGGCGGCCAGGUAGGUCCGUUGUGAAAACUCGAGGCUCAACCUCGAGACGCCGAUGGAAACCAUCUGGCUAGAGUCCGGAAGAGGCGAGUGGAAUUCCCGGUGUAGCGGUGAAAUGCGUAGAUAUCUGGAGGAACACCGGUGGCGAAGGCGGCAUUCUGGACUACAACUGACACUGAGGAACGAAAGCCAGGGGAGCAAACGGG
rnacentral:rRNA from 1 species